CAAUGGGGCUGGGAUAGAAUGCGAGUCGAGCGUCUCUAGCUAUGUUGAGACGCGGCAGACGGCUCAGUAACACGUGGCUAACCUACCCUCAGGACAGGGACAAACCCGGGAAACUGGGGCUAAUAUCAGAUAGGCGAGGAUGCCUGGAAUGGUUUUUCGCUCAAAGGACCUUGGAAACAUGCUUUCAAGUCGCCUGAGGAUGGGGCCGCGUCCGAUCAGGUUGUUGGUGAGGUAACGGCUCACCAAGCCUAUAACCGGUACGGGCCGUGAGAGCGGUAGCCCGGAGAUGGGUACUGAGACAAGGACCCAGGCCCUACGGGGCGCAGCAGUCGCGAAAACUCCGCAAUGCACGAAAGUGUGACGGGGCUACCCCGAGUGCUCUCCGCUGAGGAAAGCUUUUCUCUGGUGUAACAAGCCAGGGGAAUAAGGAGAGGGCAAGACUGGUGUCAGCCGCCGCGGUAAUACCAGCUCCCCGAGUGGUAGGGAUGUUUAUUGGGCUUAAAGCGUCCGUAGCCGGCUUAGCAAGUCUCCUGUUAAAUUCAGCGACCUAAUCGUUGAGCCGCGGGAGAUACUACUAGGCUAGGAGGCGGGAGAGGUCAACGGUACUUCCGGGGUAGGGGUGAAAUCCUAUAAUCCCGGGAGGACCACCAGUGGCGAAGGCUGUUGACUAGAACGCGCUCGACGGUGAGGGACGAAAGCUGGGGGAGCGAACCGGAUUAGAUACCCGGGUAGUCCCAGCUGUAAACGAUGCGAGCUAGGUGUUGGGGUGGCUACGAGCCACUUCAGUGCCGCAGGGAAGCCAUUAAGCUCGCCGCCUGUGGAGUACGGCCGCAAGGCUGAAACUUAAAGGAAUUGGCGGGGGAGCACCACAAGGCGUGAAGCUUGCGGUUCAAUUGGAGUCAACGCCGGA
rnacentral:rRNA from 1 species